GCCGUGUUCCCUGUCGGAUCGGCUCGCUACUGCUGCUCCCAACUGCAUGCAAGGCUUCAGUAUUAGCUCAUGGCCUGAAGCAGUCAGUGAUUGAGCACCUGAGGGGAAGUCAGGGCCAAUCCAGGGGAGCUCAGCUGCAACAUGUCUGAGUGACCAGUGACCAGAAGGGGUGAAGCCAGGAUCCACCCCUUCCCAAACAUCAUUUAAGGGUUGGCAGUGGAGGUGAGGAUAUCUUGAUGGAGAUCCUUGUCUACCUGAGGUCUUCAAAGGAUAAGCAGGUGACUCGGAAGAAAAUUGAGUGUGUGCCUUUUUUUGCUUCACUAUGAAACAUAAUCAAGGAAACAACAAUUUCAGAAAAAAACGAACACCAAAAACACAAGAAAUCCAACCAGGAAUAGAAAACAGGUAUUCAGAGCAAUUUCUUCAGUGACACAAUGCUUAACUGUUCCUGGGUUCAUGGAAGCCAUGCUGCUCAGGAGGUAUAGGAGGCCAGGCAAAGGUCUUAAUCUUUGCUUACAAGGCUGCUCCAUGACAAAGAGGAAAGUAUUAUUCAAAUGAAGAAUUACUGACAGUAGGAAAAGGAAGAAACAGGAAGUCAAGUGUCUGCUCUUUGCUCAUCAGGAAAGGGCAAGGAAGGUCAAUACAAGUGGAGAGCUGGUGAUAAGAGGAGUAGGUAAUAAAUUUUUUCUUAGACUCUUAUCUGAAAGAAGAGAGAGAAACUGUCUGAUUUUCUGUUUUUCUUGUUUCAAGGCUUGUUUUUUGGAAUUGGUAGUUUGUGGUUUUCUUUGCUUCUGGCAAAUAUCAGAUGUGUAGGUACUUUAUUGAUAUGUAAGCUGAGAACAGGAAGAAUUUUAAGAGGUAUGUUUUUACCAAGGUUUUUUUGUUUUGUUUUGUUGUUUUGUUUGUUUGUUUGUUUGUUUGCAAAACCAGCUUAAGGUCAAAGAUCAAAUCACAUCUUUUGAUACACUUUUCUAACACAUCUUCAACACCUGCAUGCAAUAGGAAGGAAUCCUGUAUGUGUGUAUGUGUUUCCAUAUAUAUAUGUUUAUAUAUUCACACUUCUUGCUCUUUUUCUCUCACACAUAUGUGCGUAGAUAAAGAGAGAGAAACAUUUCCAGCAGUCUUUGGCUGUUUGAGCUACUCCAAAAGCACAAAGGAUCGGUAUAAUUAGUUAAUUUUGAAAAUCUG
rnacentral:lncRNA from 1 species